CAUUUAUACCCUUAGCCUUGAUUGGACGCGAUAUAUGUGGGAGUGCAGUUACUGGUUCUGGGAAGACUGCUGCGUAUGCCUUACCUACACUAGAAAGACUGUUAUUCUGUCCUAAAAGGGUUUCAGCUAUACAAGUGCUAAUCCUUACUCCUGCUAGAGAGUUGGCCGUUCAGGUUCACAGUAUGAUAGAGAAACUUGCUCAGUAUACUGAUUUGCACU